GACGAACGCUGGCGGCGUGCUUAACACAUGCAAGUCGAGCGGUAAGGCCCUUUCGGGGGUACACGAGCGGCGAACGGGUGAGUAACACGUGGGUGACCUGCCCUCAGCUCUGGGAUAAGCCUGGGAAACCGGGUCUAAUACCGGAUAUGACUCCAUGACGCAUGUUGUGGGGUGGAAAGCCUUGUGCGGCUGAGGAUGGGCCCGCGGCCUAUCAGCUUGUUGGUGGGGUGAUGGCCUACCAAGGCGACGACGGGUAGCCGGCCUGAGAGGGCGACCGGCCACACUGGGACUGAGACACGGCCCAGACUCCUACGGGAGGCAGCAGUGGGGAAUCUUGCGCAAAUGGGCGAAAGCCUGACGCAGCGACGCCGCGUGAGGGA
rnacentral:rRNA from 1 species